CGUCGGUGAUAUUAAUUAUAAAUUAUUCCCGUUUUACACACCGCGUGUACUGAAAAUUUACACUCGUAGUUUGGUUGACCACUAAGAUAUACUUGUUCGUCUAAACCAUAAAUUAAAAAAAUCAUAGAAGGAAUAUUUAAACGCAUAUCUUGGAUCCGUCGAAUUCAACGUGAUGUAAUAAACAGAUACGAUUGGCCGUUAAAAAUGCUCUACCAUUCGAACAGUUUGCGUCGAAUUUACGACGUGUGGUGAUCUAAAAUCUGCACCUUGUACUUUUUCCUCUUACAAUUAGAUGUAGUCACCGGAUGCUUACGCAAGGGUCGUUUUCUUCGUACCAACUUCUUUCCCAGAGACUUUUUUCUUCGGGAUCUCGAAACGCCUCUGGGUCUCCACAAACGUCCUUCUCGACGGUCCACAGUUCUCCUGUUUCUUACCUUAUUAGCGGUAGAGAUGCUUGACCUGAAAACUUCGAGGCUGAAUAACAAGAAGGUAUAAUAUGCAGAAUACCACGAUUGUUCACCUUUACAAAGCCCCUUCGCUUGCAAAAUAAUAAUCAGCGGAAAGCCCAGGGGAUGUAAUACAGACUUCGCCUGUAUAAGAAAAAAAGAAGUUUUUCCACAUUUUGUUAACAGCAUUUACGGUUGAGAAUCUGUGAGCAACGCAUUACCAUUGUAAAUUUUUUUUAUGAAACUAAAAACGAACAGUGCAGAAUAAAUAACAUGAUAUGUUUAAAUAUAUUAUAUAUUUCGUCAUAAUAUCGAUCGAUCAGAUACAAUAAUACAUUUUUGGACCUGUAUAAUUAGGUAAACAUACAGAGGUAUACAACGCAAUCAAUUGGACAUAAUUGCAUUAUACAUUAUAAAUACUAAUAAUAAACGUCAUAGUUUGUUCUGAAGACUUUCGGUUAGUUGAAUACAGUGUUUAUUUUAUUUGUUUAUUUUUCGGAGAUGAGAAUUAGGUACGUAAGAUAAUUUACCGAUAACUUUAAGCGCGAAUACCUCAAGCUGCUGUUACACGUAUGAAAUUACAAGUGUAGAGAGGUGAGUCCUUCGGGUCUUUGGAAUGUUCAACGCGUUUAUAAUUGACGCACCUCCGCUACAAUCUUUCUUUCCAAUUCUUUUAAAUACAUGUACUGGAAGAUCACGCGUUACGAAAAUCGCACGUACAAUGUUUGUAGGAAUCGCAUACAACGUCUCUCUCGCUCUCUCUUGCCUUCUCUUAAUUCUUCUCUCUUCCUCCCUCAGUAUUUCGGCGUGUGCAUGUGUGCAGUAACAGCUUUAAUACGAUGCUCAUCAAUGAUAACUCGAAGAUAACGCGAUAGCGACGUUAGAAGUGAGGAUGAAAGUAUCUUGCUUUUUGAUUUGUGCGAGAGAAGAAAAUAAAAAAUACAUACCUACAUGUAUGUGUGUAUAAAUAAAAGAUUGCUUCAAGAGAUAAAUUCGGUAAAAACGUAACAUCUUCACUACGGUGACAACACUUGUGAACUAAAAACUUGAAACUGGCGAGAAA
rnacentral:lncRNA from 1 species